AAGGAUGGACAAAGUCCUCCAAAGUCCCAAACCCAUGGCUUUGAUUCUUUAUGUCUCAACCACAAUUAGCUUUAUUUUAAAAAUGACUGCUAAAAAGCAACUUAAAAAUCACUUGAUAAAAACUAUGAUAUAUAGCUGAGUAAAUGAUAAUUUUAAUUAAAUCAUGCCAUGUAAUACAUAUAUAUUCUUGUUCAUGGUUGUAGUUAAAUUGACCUUUUUUUUGUUGGGGGGGGAGGGGGAAUUGACCAAUUUAUCAACAAAGAAGAAAGCGAAAAUUGAUGAUUUCUCAAGUUGUUACCAGAAGAUUUGGGUGGCCAGUGGUCAUUGAAGGUAAAAUAAAAGCCAAAUAAUGCACCGAAAUUUCAAGAUAUGUAAAGUGAAAGGUCGUUAUUUUGCAAUUGGAAUUUAGGCCAACCAAAUCUUAACACGAAAUUCCUCCUUUCAUGUCACGGACGCACUCUGUGUGAUUGAAUGUUUGAAAUAUUGAGAGUUACGCGAAUCCAAUUUCAAACACACGUUUAGUUAAAUCAAUUUGCCUAUUUGGUGGCGCCACCCACAUGGAAUACAAGGCAAAAAAAAACAAAAGCAAGCACGUCCACUCGAACAAUGUGACAUUAUUUUAUGAUUCGACACACACAUCCCACCUUUCAAUUGAAUAAUUAACUUCAUUUAAUUUGGUUUAAACCCAAAUCUGUUGCGUAAUUGCAUUGUACUACUACAGGUAAUUACCUUUAUCUUAGAUUGACUUGAAUUUGAACCGAGAGGCAGCACAAACAAACGCGUUCAAGCAAAUGCAAAACCAACCAAAACCUCAAUCAUCAAGUGGUCCAUUUGAUAAAUAAACUCAAUUACACAACUGCGCUGCCAAAGUUUUAUUUUAAAAAUAAAUAAAUAAAUAAAAGCGGCAGGCAUGUGCUUUGAUUGAAUGCCUUGAGAACACGUAAGCUCGAUCCAAUUGCAUGCCAGAAAAUACAAAGAAUGAAUCUUUUGGUGAAAAUUUCCCAUCCGCGGUGUGGCGGGCGGGCGGGCGGGCUGUAGCCAGAAAGAGCCAGAGAAUCUAAAACAAAACACCAAAAAUCCUGCCCUGGAAAUGACUCAGCAUACAGCCCAAUCCAAAUCUUAAUCAUUAAGUAUUUUUUUUUCUUUUUUUUUCUUUUUAAAAAUAGACAAAUUCUGUGGUUUGAUGAGUUGAAAGGGGUCCCCCCCCCUUACUUUCCACCUCAGCUCGCUCUCAUAUCCACUCAUGAUGAAUCUUCUGUUGACCCCGACCGCCCAAUCUAGGUUUAUCCAAGGAAUUAAUAAAAUAUUUACAGCUCUUUUAUUUAAAAUUUCUAAUUGUUCUUCAUUAAAUAGGGAAUGAAAAUAGUGUUAUAUAGCCGUGGCCUAUUAGCAUUGGAAGAGUACAAAUAUCGAAUCGCAAAUAAUGAAAAUUGAAAUAGAGAGACAAAUUAUUCGCAUGUUUUUCUAUGCUCCCCACUCACUUGAUUAAAAUUAGAUUUUAAUGUAGUAUUGUUACCUUACACGUGUUAAUCUUAUCCAAAACAAACAUCCAUGCACGGUUACACCCACUUUAUAGAUUAAUAAAAUCUAAUUAGUAAUUAACCACAAAUAUAAAACUCUUUUUUUUUUUUCUGAAGCUCAAUUAAAACAUUAAACAAAAGAUACCAAUGUGAUCAAUGAACCACUUUUAUGAAUAGUAUAAGCAUAAUGCCGAUUGCCAAGGUGACAUACAUGAUUAUGAUUCAGCCACACAUAUUGAAAUAAAUUAAUUA
rnacentral:lncRNA from 1 species